rnacentral:rRNA from 1 species
CACGUAGGGCGCGAGCGUUGUCCGGAAUUAUUGGGCGUAAAGCGCACGUAGGCGGCUCAGCAAGUCGGAUGUGAAAGCCCACGGCUCAACCGUGGAAGUGCAUCCGAAACUGCUGAGCUUGAGUACUUAAGAGGAUCGCGGAAUUCCCGGUGUAGAGGUGAAAUUCGUAGAUAUCGGGAGGAACACCAGUGGCGAAGGCGGCGAUCUGGGAAGAUACUGACGCUGAGGUGCGAAAGCGUGGGGAGCAAACAGG